CUGAGCUGACUGUCCUCGGUGCCCCUUCAUUUCUGCAAGCCCGUCUUCAUCUACAGACAUAUCUAGAGCUGGCUGUUCUUGGUGAACCUCCAUCUCUGCAGGCUUGUCUUUGGCUUCAGUCAUGUCCUGAGCUGACCGGUCCUGGUGCUCCUUCAUCUCUGCAGGUUUGUCUUCAGCUUCAGUCAUGUCCAGAGCUGACUCUUCCAGGUGCUCCACUAUCUCCGCAGGUUUGUCUUCGGCUUCAGUCAUGUCCAGAGCUGACCGUUCCUGUUGCUCCUCCAUUUCUGCAGGCUCAUCUUUAGGUUCAGACAUGCCCUGAGCCGACUCUUCC
rnacentral:lncRNA from 1 species